AGUACAUAAAAAGGGAGCUGCGAGUAUGGCGCGGCUGAGAGGAACGGUCCACCCGUUUGACCUUCAAACCUGAUCUGGAUAAUGCCAGCGUAGGGAUAAAGCAGCUAGAGCAA
rnacentral:ncRNA from 2 species